AUGCGGAUCCACGGUGUCGCCAACGAGCAAGAACAUGGGUCUUCUUUUUGGUCGCGGGGCGCGUGCGUCCAGAACGUGCUGGAUUCCCUUGUGUCGGCGCUGCUCAAGGACGAGAAUCGCAAGUUAAUCUAUGUUGAGAAGAGAUGGUGGAGGCAGCAGAACGACAUUAUUAAGGGUACGGUGAAGGGGCUUGUCAGCCCCGGACGGUUGGAAUUCAUAAAUAGGGGCAUGUGCAUGCACGACGAGGCGACUGUGUGCUACAUUGACAUGAUCGAUCAAACUACACUGGGGCACAGGUUCAUCAAUGAGGAAUUUAGUCAGAUUCCGAGGAUUGGUUGGCAGAUUGAUCCAUUUGGGCACUCUACAGUUCAGGCUUACCCCCUCGGUGCAGAAACUGCAGGUGCAAGAUUCUGA
rnacentral:rRNA from 1 species